rnacentral:rRNA from 1 species
AUUGAACGCUGGCGGCAGGCUUAACACAUGCAAGUCGAGCGGAGAUGAGGUGCUUGCACCUUAUCUUAGCGGCGGACGGGUGAGUAAUGCUUAGGAAUCUGCCUAUUAGCGGGGGACAACAUUCCGAAAGGAAUGCUAAUACCGCAUACGCCCUACGGGGGAAAGCAGGGGAUCUUCGGACCUCGCGCUAAUAGAUGAGCCUAAGUCGGAUUAGCUAGUUGGUGGGGUAAAGGCCUACCAAGGCGACGAUCUGUAGCGGGUCUGAGAGGAUGAUCCGCCACACUGGGACUGAGACACGGCCCAGACUCCUACGGGAGGCAGCAGUGGGGAAUAUUGGACAAUGGGCGGAAGCCUGAUCCUGCCAUGCCGCGUGUGUGAAGAAGGCCUUUUGGUUGUAAAGCACUUUAAGCGAGGAGGAGGCUACCUGGAUUAAUACUCUAGGAUAGUGGACGUUACUCGCAGAAUAAGCACCGGCUAACUCUGUGCCAGCCGCCGCCGUAA